GGGUGUAUAGCUCAGCUGGUUAGAGCGUUUCGUUGACAUCGAAGAGGUCCGAGGUUCGAGUCCUCGUACACCCA
rnacentral:tRNA from 1 species